rnacentral:rRNA from 1 species
AGAGUUUGAUCCUGGCUCAGGACGAACGCUGGCGGCGUGCUUAACACAUGCAAGUCGAACGGAGAUAUUAGCAAUAGUAUCUUAGUGGCGGACGGGUGAGUAACGCGUGGGCAACUUGCCUCAGACAGGGGGAUAACACAGGGAAACUUGUGCUAAUACCGCAUAAUAUCACGAGGGGACAUCCUCUUGUGAUCAAAGGA